rnacentral:rRNA from 1 species
UACGAAGGGGGCUAGCGUUGUUCGGAAUUACUGGGCGUAAAGGGCGCGUAGGCGGCACUGUUAGUCAGGCGUGAAAUUCCUGGGCUCAACCUGGGGACUGCGCUUGAUACGGCAGAGCUUGAGGAUGGAAGAGGGUCGCGGAAUUCCCAGUGUAGAGGUGAAAUUCGUAGAUAUUGGGAAGAACACCGGUGGCGAAGGCGGCGAGCUGGUCCAUUACUGACGCUGAGGCGCGACAGCGUGGGGAGCAAACAGG